rnacentral:rRNA from 1 species
UACGUACCGUACGAACGUUAUUCGGAAUUACUGGGCUUAAAGGGUUUGUAGGCGGCCACGUAAGUCAGGUGUGAAAGCCCUCGGCUCAACCGAGGAACUGCGCUUCAUACUGCAUGGCUUGAGGGAGACAGGGGUAAGCGGAACUGAUGGUGGAGCGGUGAAAUGCGUUGAUAUCAUCAGGAACACCGGUGGCGAAAGCGGCUUACUGGGUCUCUUCUGACGCUGAGGUACGAAAGCUAGGGGAGCGAACGGG